rnacentral:lncRNA from 1 species
AACAUUUCAAUAAACAUGGUUAACAUAAAAUCAGUUCAUAAACUCGUAAGGCAUGCAUUUUAUUUAUGCAAAUAAACUAUAAAAUUAUGCAAAUUUUAGAAAGGGUCCACUCACAAAUACUCUAUAGCAGGAGAAUUGUGCGGAAAAGGAUUAGGGAGGUCCCAACUAGAAACUUCACCUAAGCACAAAAAAAUGUACAAUUUAUCAAACUACCCAACUAUAGAAUUUCAAGAAAUGGAAAUGGAAAUGGAAAUG